AUACUUGCCUGCACGGGGUUGAUGGGCGAUGAAGAAGGCUCAUGGCUUAGGUAGGUGACAUCCAUUGCACUUUGGAGGGGUGCCUCCCCAUGGCCUCCCCAAGUGGGAGAGGCAACGUCGUAAUUUGUUGCAGCGGAGGCCUGUGUUCAAGCGGCCCCUGC